ACACUCCUGCGGGAGGCAGCAGUGGGGAAUAUUGGACAAUGGGCGCAAGCCUGAUCUAGCCAUGCCGCGUGAGUGAUGAAGGCCCUAGGGUUGUAAAGCUCUUUCACCGGUGAAGAUAAUGACGGUAACCGGAGAAGAAGCCCCGGCUAACUUCGUGCCAGCAGCCGCGGUAAUACGAAGGGGGCUAGCGUUGUUCGGAUUUACUGGGCGUAAAGCGCACGUAGGCGGACUAUUAAGUCAGGGGUGAAAUCCCGGGGCUCAACCCCGGAACUGCCUUUGAUACUGGUAGUCUUGAGUUCGAGAGAGGUGAGUGGAAUUCCGAGUGUAGAGGUGAAAUUCGUAGAUAUUCGGAGGAACACCAGUGGCGAAGGCGGCUCACUGGCUCGAUACUGACGCUGAGGUGCGAAAGCGUGGGGAGCAAACAGGAUUAGAAACCCGAGUAGUCCCAUGA
rnacentral:rRNA from 1 species